rnacentral:rRNA from 1 species
GAUGAACGCUGGCGGCGUGCCCAAUACAUGCAAGUCGAGCGAAUGGAUUAAGAGCUUGCUCUUAUGAAGUUAGCGGCGGACGGGUGAGUAACACGUGGGUAACCUGCCCAUAAGACUGGGAUAACUCCGGGAAACCGGGGCUAAUACCGGAUAACAUUUUGAACCGCAUGGUUCGAAAUUGAAAGGCGGCUUCGGCUGUCACUUAUGGAUGGACCCGCGUCGCAUUAGCUAGUUGGUGAGGUAACGGCUCACCAAGGCAACGAUGCGUAGCCGACCUGAGGGGGCGAUCGGCCACACUGGGACUGAGACACGGCCCAGACUCCUACGGGAGGCAGCAGUAGGGAAUCUUCCGCAAUGGACGAAAGUCUGACGGAGCAACGCCGCGUGAGUGAUGAAGGCUUUCGGGUCGUAAAACUCUGUUGUUAGGGAAGAACAAGUGCUAGUUGAAUAAGCUGGCACCUUGACGGUACCUAACCAGAAAGCCACGGCUAACUACGUGCCAGCCGCCGCAGUAA